AUGAAAAACAGUUACGUUAAUUUUCUUUCGGUGCAAAUAAUAUCUUUAAAAUGCUUUCUGGUGUUUUUAUUUGAAAUGAUAGUGAAGAGUUGUGAAACUGUAUAAAGUUGUGAAUUGUGUUUAUAAGUGAGUGUGAGUUUAUAAAUGAGUGUGUAAAAAGUGUUGUGUUCAUAAAUUGCUGCGAUUUUUUGGAAUUCGUGCGCUGCCGCCGCCAUAGCAAGCCUCCAAAAUGCAAUAAAAUCUCAUAAAGCUUGCAUAAGCGAUUUUCUACUAUCGAUGAAUUACAAUUAUGCAGCAUAUCAGUAGCAUAUAUGUUGAUCGGCGCAACAACAACAAACAAACGCUUUAUAGAGAAGGUGAAUUGUUGGAUUUUUCGCUAGACACAUAAAUGCUGAGAAAUCAAGAAAAUAUGCGUGCAUUUGUUGGUGUGUCUGUAAUCGAGUAUCCGCAUUCACAAUACCACAUUCUUGCCACUUAAGCGCGAUCAGCUAGCUGGCAGCAGUAGCCUCCGUUGUUUUAUGCAGUGAAAAUACUUGGAAAAUAUAUUAAAUGGAACUCCAGAAAAAAAUCAGCUAAAAUUGGAAUGAAAAAUAGGUGAACAGCAGACACAAAAAUGAACUAUAUAUUUACAUAGCUCUUCCUAUUGCACACUUCAUCCAGUUUCCGGCGCCAAUGCAUUUACAUGGACACCAAACUAUUAAGAAUACAAACAUGUUUCAUUUUAGCUUAUUUGUAAUAGCUAUAAUUAUUUUUUUCUCAAAUAAAAUACAAUAAAAUUUAAGAAAA
rnacentral:lncRNA from 1 species